AUUUCUGGAGCUGUGUCUCCGCAGCCAAGACUGACUGCAGUGAGCAGAAGGUUUCCUCAACUGUCGCAUGGUUAGUAAUUCUACUUCUGAGGGCAUUCUGCACCAAAAAAUUGUGCGCCAAAAAAAAAAUAUUACAAUUCUGCAAAAUUCUGCAAAUUUUAUUUGUCAGAUUAAUGUGGAGGCUCCAUCAUGGCAUCAGGGAGAUCACUGUGUAGCUCCCCCCAUCGACCCAGGGACAUGGAUUCAGUGGUGAGGCUACACCCAACCCUGACACAGUGCAGGGACCUGGCCUGCCUCAGAAACACCCCAGGGCCCAGCUCCUCUGUGUGGGCAGGACUCUUAUACUAAAGGACUACAGAAGUGAGGACUUUUUUGAACCCUGCUUGCCGCACCCAGUUCCAGAUAUGGCUGCAAUCUUCCCCCGAAAAGACUGCCAAUUCAGGAUUGUACUAGCUUGAAGACCCCAAGAAGCAAAUCUGGUCACCUCUUCCAUGGCUGCAGAAGGCCCCUUUGACUGAGAACCAGUGUGGUGCUGCUAUUCGAGAGAAGAAGCCCCAGUGCGUGCACCUCUUCCGGCACAGUGGUGUGUGCGGUGGAAGGCAUGACAUGAACAUGGCUUGGCUACUGAAGGUGGGCUCUGGGGUCUCAAUGUAAACCUGGUAAACAUUGCCAUGAAAUCAGAGUGAUUCAUUAUCCUGGUUCACUCUCUCGUUUAGUUAUCUCACUAUUGUCAGCCGUAAGUGUUCAAAAAUCAUGAGUCAGACCCAUACACUCAUGAGAUUGCCUUAAAAAUCACAUGAUUUUUUAAAAAAGUAAUACAUUUGGGGUUGUUUUUAUUUGCCUUCUUGGUUUUGAGCCUUUAGGACUUCAUGUUUUCAAAGCUUUUUUCUACAAGUAUGAGAGCUGGAAAUGUUCUUGCUUUUUUAAAUACAAGCUGAGAGUCUGACAUAAGCCCAUGAUUCCAUGAACUGACACUUUUGUGAGACUUGCCAUCAAAUCAGAAAAAUCAGUAAAAAUCGAUGUUGUAAGGAAUGGCCAGGCUAUUACCAUUUCCUGCCUGUUCAAGCUUCUCAGUUCUCCCCACUGGCACAUGAAUGCAGAUGUUAUUGACACAGUUAUCAGUGGAACUGGAGGAGCAUUGCCCAAGUUACCAAAUUGGGUGGGAGACCGUUCACUCUUCUCAGGAGGCUUCUCAUGAAAGACCUAUUUAUUUGCCCAUUCUGAAGGAACAGGCCAAACAGCACCCGUUCCUAAUCCAUCCCUCAAAAACAAUCCCCAAAAUGAAGAAUCAUACCAGUUAAUUUUCCCAGAAUACUAUGAAGAGGAUAAUUUGCAGACCAACAUCUGCCCUCAGAAGACACAGGUAACUGGAGGACUGUAAAAGAGAGGAAGGAUCUGGAGACUGCCCAAACCCUCUACAAGGUUCACUUCAGUUUUGAAAUUCAGUGGCAGGUUUCACAUAGUUUUGGGGUUUUGAUGCAAAAGUUUUUCACAGCCCUUGUAAUAAUCUGCAUGCCUUGAUUUUCCUUACGGUAUCAUCUUGAAAUAUUUGGCUGAACUAGCUGGUGGCCUAACGCCACUGAAUUCUGACCCAUUAUUCUUCAUUUCCUUUCCUCAAGUGUUAUGUAGUGUAGAUAUACAUUAGUAAGUAGCUGCUGCAUUUUAUCCCACAGUUAGUUGCAUUUCACUGAUGAGGAAAAUGACUCAUUUAAUUUGUAGUGUACACUGGGAUCCUUUUGAAUAAAAGGUGCAAUGUAAAUAUAUCACAUCACUUAUUACAGAGUUUUAAUUGCACUGACAUAUUAUGGAAGCAUCAUAAACCAUGACUGUAAAGAUCAAGGAAACCCAAGAUGGAAAGAGUCCUGUAAUUCAAGUUUUGCUUGUUUUGUAAUUUAUAAUAGCUUAUAAUACAAAGUUCCAACAAUAAAAUCCAGCUGAGAAAAUAUUAAGAGGCAGGAGAUAACCCCCUGGAUAAACAAACAUUGUAAAACUACUUAAUUCAUACUCACUUCUGUCUUUUACGGCUAUUGACCACAUUCACAAUAGGCUUCGUAGUUAACUUGCAGAAGCAAGCUGUUGGUUACUACUCUCACAAGCCCAUCAUACCGAAGGUACGUUGUGGCAUUGAUAUGCUGGGGCCAUAGCAGAAAAGAGGAGACAUUUUUCCUGUUUACUGUUGCCGAAUUGUGGGGUGAGGGAUGGGAACAGAUAGGAAGCUCACUCCCUGAAAAUCUGUUUUUUUAAUUUUAA